rnacentral:lncRNA from 1 species
UUGUGAUCGUGCCUUGGUUCAGAAAACCUCCCCUGACCUUGAUAAUUUGUAUAAAAGCGUAAAGUUUUUGGUAAAAUUUUAAAACGACGAAGAAUUUAGAACCGUUAUUGCAGUUUAUGUUAUAUUUGCAUACUUUGAUACAAAAAGAAUUUAUCAAGUACAUAUCAUAGAAUAGAUUGAAAUACACUUCUUCUUUGGCGCAAGUUAUUUACAAAGAUUACCAUAAUGAGCUGGGGAAGUUCUUGGAGUAGCGGGAGUUGGUCUAGCAGCAGUAGCUCCUGUAGUGGAUAGGGAAACUCCUGGAAUAGUUGCGAGGACAACAAAAACCCAGAGGGUCAGCAUAAUUCCACGUGCAUUGCUGGCACUAGUUCCUGGGGACACAGUGGACCAAUGAGCGAUUGCUACGACGAAAGCUGCUCUGGUUGCCGACAUGACCGAGCUGUUUCAACAUGGAGUGGCUCUCCAUCUGGGGUAAAUACGACACUUAAAUUAGCUGCGCUCCUUGGCAUGGGGGUAGCUGCAAAGAAAAGUCUCUGGGACUGAAGCUCACCGAUAUAGAGUCUAAAAGUCUGAGUAAUAUUUGUAAUGUAACAGUAACAAUUUUUUUACAGAGAUGUUAACACAGCAGAAGCAAACACGACUAUAUUUUCAUGACAUAUAUCAUGGAAAUAACUAACAUUUAGAACAGUUCAAAGGCAGUACCCGGAGAGAACAUUGGAAUCUCGGAUCCUAGAGCUGUUGAGACAACAAUAUAUUUUUGCAAUGUGAUACGGGAUAUGUGCAAUAGACGUUAUAUUGUUUAAAUAUUGACUGUAUGUGUAUUAAACAAGAAACAAGCAUAUACAUAUAUUUGUCACAAAAUAUCUUAAAAUUUCGUUUAUGCUUAAAUUUAUGUGAUUAUUACACGUUUGUUAUGUGUAUGUUCCAUUCUUUUCACACAUCAUUUAUCUAAAUGGAUCUAUGUCGUAUCAUUUCUGUAAUUCUUUUUACAUUGUAGAUAUUUACAUACCUUUAAUAUUUUUAUGUUAACAAAUAAUUUGAAAUAAAAAAUGAAAAAUC